GAUGAACGCUGGCGGCGUGCCUAAUACAUGCAAGUCGAGCGAACAGACGAGGAGCUUACUCCUCUGACGUUAGCGGCGGACGGGUGAGUAACACGUGGAUAACCUACCUAUAAGACUGGGAUAACUUCGGGAAACCGGAGCUAAUACCGGAUAACAUGUUGAACCGCAUGGUUCAACAGUGAAAGACGGUCUUGCUGUCACUUAUAGAUGGAUCCGCGUCGCAUUAGAUAGUUGGUAAGGUAACGGCUUACCAAGGCAACGAUGCGUAGCCGACCUGAGAGGGUGAUCGGCCACACUGGAACUGAGACACGGUCCAGACUCCUACGGGAGGCAGCAGUAGGGAAUCUUCCGCAAUGGGCGAAAGCCUGACGGAGCAACGCCGCGUGAGUGAAGAAGGUCUUCGGAUCGUAAAACUCUGUUAUUAGGGAAGAACAAAUGUGUAAGUAACUAUGCACGUCUUGACGGUACCUAAUCAGAAAGCCACGGCUAACUACGUG
rnacentral:rRNA from 1 species